rnacentral:rRNA from 1 species
AUACGGAGGGGGCUAGCGUUGUUCGGAAUUACUGGGCGUAAAGCGCGCGUAGGCGGAUUGAUCAGUCAGGGGUGAAAUCCCGGAGCUUAACUCCGGAACUGCCUUUGAUACUGUCGAUCUUGAGUUCGAGAGAGGUGAGUGGAAUUCCUAGUGUAGAGGUGAAAUUCGUAGAUAUUAGGAAGAACACCAGUGGCGAAGGCGGCUCACUGGCUCGAUACUGACGCUGAGGUGCGGAAGCGUGGGGAGCAAACAGGAUUAGAAACCCCAGUAGUCC